rnacentral:ncRNA from 1 species
UGAUGGUUCACUCUCUCGGCGUGAUUAAAAAGGGAACCGGGUGCGACUCCCGGACUGUCCCGCAGCAGUGAGCAGCCCCUUUACGACCGCAAACAACAGAGCCACUGGUUGGCCGAACAACCGGGAAGGCGUUUGCUUGGUUGGGCUGCAAAGUCUGAAGACCUGCCUCAUGUCUU